CUUUGUGGCCUUUUACUCCCGGGGCUGCCGCCUCCGCCGGGAGCGAGGCGAGGGACGGGGCCAGGAAAGCCCGAGGGUGAGGUGUUAAAGUGCUCCGUGUGUUACCUGUGCUCCUACUUCAGCGACCGUGGUCGAGUAACUGCACUGCCUUGUCCAAAACCAUCGUCCUGAAAUAUGGUAACUCUAAUCAAGGAUUUCUGCACCUGGAAAACUUGUGCAAAGACUACCUGGAAGAAGUGAAAUGCCUCCUGUGGUUUGCAAGCAGAACUAUCAAAGUGCUAUCCAGAAGUAUUAAAGCUCUUUUUAGUGUUUUACAUGGUUUGAAAGGAACGUCAGGAGGCUGUCAUGGUAUAAUUAGAGGUCAGUACAAGAGAGAACAAAACUCAGCUCUUUCCAACAGUGAAAAUUUUCUGUCAUGGCUUAACCCCAGACAGUGACUAAGCAUAUGUGUGUACACACACGGGAUGAGGAGAUGGAGAAUCAGAAAAAGUAAAACUCAUGGGUUUAGGUAAGAACACUUUAAUAACUGAAAUAAAGGAAACAAAUAAAAAUAACAAUAAAAUGAAAAGGAUAAAGAGAGAGAUGAAUAAACUCCCAGACAGACAAGUGAUACACAAUACAGUUGCUCACCACCCCUGUCUAGCCCCUAGGCAGCAGUUGGCGUCUUCUGGCUGAUCAGGAUAUAAACUCCCCUCUAUUUAUAUACUGGGCAUGAUGCUCUGUGGUGUGAAAUAUUCCUUUGGGCAGUUUGGUGAGCUGUCCUGGCCAUGCUUCCUUCCACCUUCUUGUGCAUCUCCUCACUGGCAGAGUACGGUAAACUGAGAAACCCCGGAUUUAAGGUAGACACGGCUCAGCAACAACUAAAUCAUCAGUGUGUUACCACCAUUAUUCUCACACUACAUCCAAAACACAGCACUGCAUCAGCUACGAGGAAGAAAAUGAACUCUAUCCCAUCCAAGCCCAUUGCAUUCAUUUAAGCAUCUAGUUUAAUCCCAUUUGUACAGAACUCAACAAGCCAUCUAGCUGAAUUACAGUGGUUUGGACUCAUUGUGGUAUUUUUGCCAUUUUAAACAGACAACACCAUUACCAUUCCCUGCUUUAAUGUUGAAAAGAUUUUUAGGGUUACAACCAUGGAAUUCCAGGGUAAUUCAGAAUUGUUUCAAUUCUUUGGUAGAAAAUAAAUGUCACCGAAGUUAGGGGAACUACAAGUUCAUCUAGCAAAGUUUCAUAAAACUCUACAGUAAUACUUCUCUUUUAGUGCUAUUUCAUAUCCACAAAUAAGAAAAGAAACCUUGAGGCAUGACCAAAGAACUUCUGCAGAAACUUUUGUUUAUGAGGCCUUUAUAUUCACUGUCACAUACACUAAGCUUUAGUAACAAACCAAAAACGCAACUGGUAAAGAAAAACCACAAGAAAUUAUAUUACAUUAUAGUCCAUGAGUCCACUAAAUUUUAUGCAUUUAGUUUCACAGAUGCAGUAUUUUAAUUUUCAUUCCUCUCCUGCGAAUAUCCAAUGCAGAACUGCUUUUUAAUGAAAGCAAAUCAUUAUCUAACAGAGGACCUAAUGCGAAAGUUAACUAAGGACUGACAUAUGUAGAUAAGAAACAAGCACAGAGAGUACAAAGAGCAAAUGCCAAAUAAUUCAGACACCAGGUGAUUUUAGCUAGAGAAGUCGGAGAGGGAACAGCUGACAAGCACAGGCUCAUAUAUCCAUCAGCCUCACAGAGGGCAUCUUAAAUAAGUUUUUUGGGCACACUGAUCUUAACUAUGGAACUUGCUUUUAGUUUUCAUCAGAACAGACUAAAUGAAAGCAAAGAGGAAUACAGUAGCCAAGUUGUGCCACAACAGAAGUACAAAUCAACAUACUUAUACAUAUAUACUUUCCAAGCAUACAAUACCCAACACAAAACGUUUUAUUCAAAAACAGACAUGAAUUGAUGAAUUUUUAACACAUAACAUAGAAACUACAUUUCACCAUUCUGUCAAAUCAAAAGUAUAUCCUUGGGCUGCAAACUGUUCAUGUUACUGGAGAGCCCUUAAAAGGAUCAACAUAUUUGAUCUGAAAAGUGCUGCAGAAGCAAGGCAUUGAUACAGAAUCAGGUAGAAAUAUGUAGUGCGUGUACAUUGGCUUGGGGCAUUUUCCUUGUUUCUUUAACAACAAACCUGCAUACAAAACUCUCACAUACAUGAGAGAGAACUGAAGGCAAUUGCAGCAGAAA